UUGGUACUCCCUCCGAUCCGUAUUAUUUGCCUUAUAUUUUUCUAGAUAUGAAUGUAUGUAACACUAAAACAUGUCUAAAUACAUCCGUCUCUACACAAAUAUAAGACAAGUAAUAUAUAUUGGAGGGAGUAUAUA
rfam:Triticum aestivum genome assembly, contig: Triticum_aestivum_CS42_TGACv1_scaffold_342407_4DL